GGAGUUGUGGCUUAGUGGUAGAGCUCUUACCUAGCAUGUGUGAGGCACUGGGUUCGAUUCUCAGCACUGCA
rnacentral:tRNA from 1 species